GACGAACCGUGCGAACGUUGUUCGGAAUCACUGGGCUUAAAGGGUGCGUAGGCGGGUUGUCCAGUCUGGGGUGAAAUCCCACGGCUCAACCGUGGAAUUGCCUCAGAUACUGACGACCUCGAGGGAGGUAGGGGCGAGCGGAACUGUGGGUGGAGCGGUGAAAUGCGUUGAUAUCCACAGGAACUCCGGUGGCGAAGGCGGCUCGCUGGACCUCUUCUGACGCUGAGGUACGAAAGCUAGGGGAGCGAAUGGG
rnacentral:rRNA from 1 species